rnacentral:tRNA from 1 species
AGUAUUGUCAGCUAAUGAAGCUAUCGGGCCCAUACCCCUACUAUGAAGGUUAAACCCCCUCCCUUACUG